rnacentral:tRNA from 1 species
GUAUCUGAAGCCAAAGUGGUCAAGGCGCUGGUUUGUGGAACCAGUCAAAGCGGGUUCAAGCCCCGUCAGAUACC